UGACAACAUCGUAACUAAGGUGCCUGGCGC
rnacentral:piRNA from 1 species